ACAAUGGGCGCAMKNGANUCCAGCCAUGCCGCGUGAGUGACGAAGGUCUUCGGAUUGUAAAGCUCUUUUGGCGGGGACGAUAAUGACGGUACCCGCAGAAUAAGCCCCGGCUAACUUCGUGCCAGCAGCCGCGGUAAUACGAAGGGGGCUAGCGUUGUUCGGAAUUACUGGGCGUAAAGCGCACGUAGGCGGAUUGCUAAGUCAGGGGUGAAAUCCCGGGGCUCAACCUCGGAACUGCCUUUGAUACUGACAGUCUUGAGUCCGGAAGAGGUGAGUGGAAUUCCUAGUGUAGAGGUGAAAUUCGUAGAUAUUAGGAAGAACACCAGUGGCGAAGGCGGCUCACUGGUCCGGUACUGACGCUGAGGUGCGAAASGUGGGGAGCAAACAGGAUUAGAUACCCUGGUAGUCCACGCCGUAAACUAUGGAUGCUAGCCGUCGGCAAGCUUGCUUGUCGGUGGCGCSUAACGCUUUAAGCAUCCCGCCUGGGGAGUACGGCCGCAAGUUAAAACUCAAAGGAAUUGACGGGGGCCCGCACAAGCGUGGAGCAUGUGGUUUAAUUCGACGCAACSSAAGAACCUUACCAGCUCUUG
rnacentral:rRNA from 1 species